GAGGCCGCCUUUUCCUCUCCCCUGGCACCUGUGCCCAGACCACACUGCCCUUGCUACCCUAGCACAGUUCCAAAUGAGAAGAGUCCUGGGAGUUAAUGAGAGACAGUUGAAGACCAGGUGUGGCCCAGCCUCAGGUUUCGGGGAGGAGAGGAGCAAGAAAGAUCCAAGAGAGAAGGAGACAGCCCAUUCCUGGAGGAGCCCACAGAUGAGAUGGGGGUCCCCCAGUUACCUUCCUCUGCUUCUUCACACACACACGCAAAACAAGGCACAUGAAGACAUGAGGACAGGCAGCAGCUGGUUCCAGGCCCGACGACAUGAGCCAGGCCAUGCAUUUGUUCGCUCCUUUAUCUGUCCCUUUGUUCAUCACAUCCAUUGAUCCAUCAGUCCCUCCCUCCCUUCCACUCUCGUUUUACCUCUCUCCCUUCUUCCUGCCUCCCUCGCACUUCCACCCACCCACUAAGCAUCCAUGGAGGCCCACAGUGAGCCAGGCACUGUGCUAGAUGCUGGAGGUUCAGAGCUGAACAAGACCUCAGCUGCCCUCAGGAAGCAUGCAGUCUAGAAGGGAGAACACAGGUCACCAAGGAGAAAGGGCUUUGAUGGGACAUUAAAAAAAAAAAAUGCAGUGAUGCUGUACAGGGCAGCCAUGCCCCUCCUAGGCCAGCUGCUCUCCACGGUCAGCAUCCGAGCUAAUGGCCUCUCUCUGUGUCUCUUAUGGGACGUCACCAGCACCCAGAUGCACUGGAGGGCAGGUAGGAAGUAGUGAGCCGGUGGGAGGCCAGCUUUGGGCCACACCCAGCAGAGAGGAGAGCAGUGGUCCCAGAGUGGGUGGGAUGGUCAGUCUGGGGCAAGUCAGCCAGGAGACUCAAGGUCACUCUGUCAUUGGGUCCAUUCCACAGUGGGUAGCAGAGAAUGAUAUUUGAGAACCAUCAUGCCUCACAGGAAGCCCAUGGGGCUUAUCUCAGGGGCCUCAGAAAUAGGCUGGUCCAAAUGGUCACACACUGACUUGGAGUCAAAAUGGCAAGUUUAGCCCCAGCUGUGCCGGCACCAGGUGUCUGAGUAGCUUCUCUUUGCAUCAGUGUUCUUCUCUGAAAAGUGGAGGCCAUAGCCCCUGGCCUGCUGCACUCUGGGAAUUUGGGCACAUACUCCACAGUGAAUUUGGAAGUUCCAUUUAAGUGGGAACUUGCAGUCAGAGUUUAAGAGGCAGUUGACAGGGAGACCCACCCGGAGCUGUGUCCUCAAGCCACAUUCACUCAUCCUGCCCAUUGCAGGGCUGCCACCUCCUGCCCUCAGAGAGCAGCAGGCAGCCUCUGAGCUGCUUCCUUUCCUCUCUUCCCCCUUUCCUCCCUCCCCGUAUCCCUCUACAGUUCCUGGAAUGAGUAAGGGAGUCUGGAAGAGCUAGGGCCUGAGAGCCUCCAGUGCCUGCAGAAGAGUCUGGGUUUGUAUGGGCAGCCAAGGCUGCAAGGGACACAUGGUUUGAGCUCUUGGGGGAGGGGAGCUCUUGAGCUCUUCAGCACUGGGCUGUGACUAAUGGGGAUAAGGAAUAGCCUGUGUGCUGGUAUUUAGGGUACACUGAUCCCCAGAUAUCUCCUCCCACCUGUACUAUGGAAAUUUAUCACGGGACUCUCAUUUCUUUUUCUAGGGAUUCUUGCCUCCAUAAAAAUGCGGUCCUGGUCUCACUUGGCCACUGAGUCAUCCCAUAAACUUCAGUGACAUUGACAUUGAAUUUCUCACCCCCACUCAGAGCAGGGUCAUGACACAGGGAGGAAAAGAAGACUAUGCUGGGAGUGGAGCCUCAGAGGAAAAGGGGGCAUGGAUGCUUAGGAAUAUAAAGGGCCUCAGGUCCGGGCCAGUGACGCUCUGCUGAGCUCCUCUGCAGCUGCCCAGCACCAUGACGCCGGCUCUGCGUUGCGUAUUCGCUCUGGCCAUAGUGGGCCUUGUGUUGCUGCUGCUGCAGCCCGAGGGUGCCCUGGGCGAGGAGUUGCAAGUGCCACAGCCCAGGGCCGCCAGUUGGCUGAACUUAGGCUCCUUCAAGAAGUACAUAGGGAAGCUCUUCAACAGCAGCCCGAAGAAAUCUAAAAACCACAAGAAAACUGCGAACGCCACGAACGCCUCCCCAUCGAAAGGCACGAAAUACCCUCCAUGGACCACCACGAACCCCCAGUGGCUGAAUACCUCGGAACCCCGACCACCGACCUCCUCCCGGGGCCCCAGGUAGGACAGCCUGGACGCUUGGCACCGAGCCAGGGGCCUCGGGACUGGGGGAAGCUUGGGUGAUAGAGAGAGGAAGCUCCUGGGGGCGGGCAUUCGGGGAGACACAGCGCCCAGGCGGGGGAGCUUCGUUCUCCAGGCUGGGCCUUGGCCUCCAGACGCCUCUCUCCCACCAACCCCUUUAUAUUGAGAGGGGCCUCAACCCGUCCUCAUCCCCUCAGUGGAAACAAUAAAGACAAAUUUCUGUUGCUUCA